rnacentral:rRNA from 1 species
AUACGAAGGGUGCAAGCGUUAUCCGGAUUCAUUGGGUUUAAAGGGUGCGUAGGCGGGACAGCAAGUCAGCGGUGAAAGCCCGUGGCUUAACUACGGAAUUGCCGUUGAUACUGUUGUUCUUGAGUACGCUUGACGUGGGCGGAAUGUGCCGUGUAGCGGUGAAAUGCAUAGAUAUGGCACAGAACACCGAUAGUGAAGACAGCUCACGAAGGCGAAACUGACGCUGAGGCACGAAAGCGUGGGGAUCAAACAGGAUUAGAUACCCUGGUAGUCCACGCCGUAAACGAUGAUCACUCGUGGUUGGCGAUAUACGGCCAGUCACCUAGCGAAAGCGUUAAGUGAUCCACCUGGGGAGUACGAUCGCAAGAUUGAA